rnacentral:rRNA from 1 species
CAAUAGCGUAUAUUAAAGUUGUUGCAGUUAAAAGCUCGUAGUUGGAUUUGUGGCUGUCGCUAGCGGCCUAUCACCUAGUGUUAGUGCUUGCUGGCGUCGCCAUCCUUGGGUGGAGCCUGCGUGGCAUUAGGUUGUCGUGCAGGGGAUGGCCCAUCCGUUUAUCUGUGAGAAAAUUAGAGUGUUCAAAGCAGGCUUAUGCCGUUGAAUAUGUUAGCAUGGAAUAAUAAGAUAGGACCUUGGUACUAUUUUGUGGUUUGCGCACCGAGGUAAUGAUUAAUAGGGACAGUUGGGGUGAUUCUAUUCCAUUGUCAGAGUGAAAUUCUUGGAUUUCUGGAAGACGAACUACUGCGAAAGCAUUUUACCAAGGGAUGUUUUCAUUAAUCAAGAACGAAAGUUAGGGGAUC